rnacentral:tRNA from 1 species
CUAGCUGUAGUAUAAUGGUAAUGUGUCCGUUUGCUGAAUGGAAAUGUGGGUUCCCAGUCCCGCCGGCUACA